CUAUGCCUCUGCAGUGGUGGAAAAUGAGCACGUCUAUAAUGUGGACAGAGCUCAGGGACCCCCUGCUCCUGGCGACUUGAAACCAGAUGAACAGCUUGAGAGUUAUUCAGUAAAAUCUGCUGCAUUAGAUGGCGCUGAAAAGUCUACCUCUUCAGCUGAGCCCGGUCCUGCACAAGCCGUCACACCAAAGCCAGAUAAAACAGAGCCUGUGCACGUGCCCCCAGAGGUUCCAGCUUCUGCUCUAUUCACCAUCG